rnacentral:rRNA from 1 species
GGCUGAAACUACGCCUACAUGAAGCUGGAGUUACUAGUAAUCGCAGAUCAGAAUGCUGCGGUGAAUGCGUUCCCGGGUCUUGUACACACCGCCCGUCACACCACGGAAGUUGGGGGCGCCCGAAAGCCACUUAGCUAACCCUUUUGGGAAGCGAGUGUCGAAGGUGAAAUCAAUAACUGGGGUGAAGUCGUAACAAGGUACC